GGUUUGAUCCUUAGCUCAGAUUGAACGCUGGCGGGAUGCUUUACACAUGCAAGUCGAACGGCAGCACGGACUUCGGUCUGGUGGCGAGUGGCGAACGGGUGAGUAAUGUAUCGGAACGUGCCUAGUAGCGGGGGAUAACUACGCGAAAGCGUAACUAAUACCACAUACGCCCUUCGGGGAAAGCGAGAGCCUUCGGGCCUCGCACUAUUAGAGCGGCCGAUAUCGGAUUAGCUAGUUGGUGGGGUAACGGCUCACCAAGGCGACGAUCCGUAGCUGGUUUGAGAGGACGACCAGCCACACUGGGACUGAGACACGGCCCAGACUCUACAGGGAGGCAGCAGUGGGGAAUUUUGGACAAUGGGGAAACCCUGAUCCAGCCAUCCCGCGUGUGCGAUGAAGGUCUUCGGGUUGUAAAGCACUUUUGGCAGGAAAGAAACGGCACGGGAUAAUACCCCGUGCAACUGACGGUACCUGCAGAAUAAGCACCGGCUAACUACGUGCCAGCAGCCGCGGUAAUACGUAGGAGUGCAAGCGUUAAUCGGAAUUACUGGGCGUAAAGCGUGCGCAGGCGGUUCGGAAGAAAGAUGUGAAAUCCCAGAGCUUAACUUUUGGAACUGCAUUUUUAACUACCGAGCUAGAGUGUGUCAGAGGAGGUGGAAUUCCGCGUGUAGCAGUGAAAUGCGUAGAUAUGCGGAGGAACACCGAUGGCGAAGGCAGCCUCCUGGGAUAACACUGACGCUCAUGCACGAAAGCAUUAAGGAGCAAACAGGAUUAGAUACCUGGUGAUCCACGCCCUAAACGAUGUCAACUAGCUGUUGGGGCCUUCGGGCCUUGGUAGCGCAACUAACGCGUGAAGUUGACCGCCUGGGGAGUACGGUCGCAAGAGAUUAAAAAACUCAAAGGAAUUGACGGGGACCCGCACAAGCGGUGGAUGAUGUGGAUUAAUUCGAUGCAACGCGAAAAACCUUACCUACCCUUGACAUGUCUGGAAUCCAGAGAUUUGGGAGUGCUCGCAAGGGGAACCGGAACACAGGUGCUGCAUGGCUGUCGUCAGCUCGUGUCGUGAGAUGUUGGGUUAGUCCCACCAACAGGCGCAACCGCCAUCAUUAGUUGCUACGAAAGGGCACUCUAAUGAGACUGCCGGUGACAAACCGGAGGAAGGUGGGGAUGACGUCAAGUCCUCAUGGCCCUUAUGGGUAGGGCUUCACACGUCAUACAAUGGUCAGGACAGAAGGUCGCCAACCCGCGAGGAGCCAAUCCCAGAAACCCGAUCGUAGUCCGGAUCGCAGUCUGCAACUCGACUGCGUGAAGUCGGAAUCGCUAUUAAUCGCGGAUCAGCAUGUCGCGAGUGAAUACGUUCCCGGGUCUUGUACACACCGCCCGUCACACCAUGGGAGUGGGUUUUACCGAAGUAGUUAGCCUAACCGUAAGGAGGGCGAUUACCACGGUAGGAUUCAUGACUGGGGUGAAGUCGUAACAAGGUAG
rnacentral:rRNA from 1 species